rnacentral:lncRNA from 1 species
CAUGGCCAUGCGAUGAUUUGGAUAAAUUGAUCGUAUAGUUUGAAGGAGGGAUAGUGUAGGCCUUGUAUAUUCUUAUAGCCCCUUGUAUGUGACCAAGGUUCUAGCAUAAGUGACUAGAAGUGAUGAGAGUCCAUAAAUUAAAGAGGGUCCUAUAUACUUACUGAAAAUGGCGUCCAAUAUGAGCUAUAAAUUACCAAUACUAAAUUAAAACCAAAGUUCGGGU